GCCCCAGACUCCUACGGGAGGCAGCAGUGAGGAAUAUUGGUCAAUGGUCGGGAGACUGAACCAGCCAAGCCGCGUGAGGGAUGAAGGUACAGAGUAUCGUAAACCUCUUUUGUCAGGGAACAAAGGCGGGGACGUGUCCCCGGAUGAGUGUACCUGAAGAAAAAGCAUCGGCUAACUCCGUGCCAGCAGCCGCGGUAAUACGGAGGAUGCGAGCGUUAUCCGGAUUUAUUGGGUUUAAAGGGUGCGCAGGGGGUCUAGUAAGGCAGGCGGGAAAUGCCGGGGCUCAACCCCGGCGCCGCCGUUGAAACUGGCAGUCUCGAGUUGGAGAGAAGUAUGCGGAAUGCGCGGUGUAGCGGUGAAAUGCAUAGAUAUCGCGCAGAACUCCGAUUGCGAAGGCAGCAUGCCGGCUCCACACUGACGCUGAGGCACGAAAGCGUGGGUAUCGAACAGGAUUAGAUACCCGAGUA
rnacentral:rRNA from 1 species